rnacentral:rRNA from 1 species
GACGAACGCUGGCGGCGUGCUUAACACAUGCAAGUCGAGCGGUAAGGCCCUUUCGGGGGUACACGAGCGGCGAACGGGUGAGUAACACGUGAGCAAUCUGCCCUUCACUUUGGGAUAACCACCGGAAACGGUGGCUAAUACCGAAUACGACCGCCCCGGGCAUCUGGUGGUGGUGGAAAGUUCUGGCGGUGGAGGAUGAGCUCGCGGCCUAUCAGCUUGUUGGUGGGGUAAUGGCCUACCAAGGCGACGACGGGUAGCCGGCCUGAGAGGGUGACCGGCCACACUGGGACUGAGACACGGCCCAGACUCCUACGGGAGGCAGCAGUGGGGAAUAUUGGACAAUGGGCGAAAGCCUGAUCCAGCAACGCCGCGUGAGGGAUGACGGCCUUCGGGUUGUAAACCUCUUUCAGUAGGGACGAAGCAACGUGACGGUACCUACAGAAGAAGCACCGGCCAACUACGUGCCAGCAGCCGCCGUAACAC